rnacentral:lncRNA from 1 species
ACCGAUACCCAUUCUUAAUAAGCAGGAGUUGUUGGGUGGUGACUAACCCCCAUCUUCUUUUAUAGAAGGGAUCCUUCAUCAUCUCAAAGUAGAGAUCCGCUCGCGAUCCUUCACGGUGUGGCAGCAUGAUCCUUCUCUCCAGUGAACAGCAGAUAUCUCGUGGCUGGGGGAGCUGGUUCUUCAAGCUGAACUAUCGCCAAUCAUGCAAACUUCGGCUUGGCAUGGGAGGUGUUGGAAAUUCUCCACCGCACCAGGGGAGGAUUUGGAUCCACGGUCAUUGGGAAUGUUUUCCUGCAGCACUCGAAGGGGAGGUCUUCGACUUUUUAGUGAGUCCCUCCUUCCUCUUUGGUGGGAUGGCUUCUUCCAUAAUCUUUGGUGGGGCAUCUGGUCAGUAGACAUAUCCCUUCGGAUCUUUCUGUCUGUGUACCUGAGAGAUACAUGCUCCUGAGAGGGAUGGCCACCUGGCCAUUGAAGUGGAGCCUGAGGGGGUUGCGACCUUUGCUGACGGGAGGAUUCCCGCAUGGGGAGAAUUAGUGGUCUAUUGGUGUGGCUUGGAUUACUGCAUGGGGAUCCUCAGUGGCCUACUGGUGCAGCUUGG